CAAGGCACAUUGUAAGAGCUGUAAAGAGAGAGGGACUCGGAGAGAGAACAGGUAGAACCUGAUAUGUAAAUGAGCAGAGCAAACGAAAGCAACUUUCGACGACCGAAUGAUCAUUCAGACUCUGUUUCUAUUGAGAGAUAAAAGGCUGGUUGAAUGAGUUGGCUGUGAAAGCUACUUCAUCUGCAAGAAAACAGGCGGCUGCACCAGUGACUGUCAGAAGUUUUGUGAUUUCCUCAUAUGAACGUGAAAGGGUCAGUGCUCUAAAAUGAGUCUCUCUGGGGAGAGAAAGGAGGGGGGCCCUGCCUCUAAAAUGAGUCUCUCUGGGGAGAGGAAGGAGGGGGGCCCUGCCUCUAAAAUGA